rnacentral:lncRNA from 1 species
UUGAUUCCCCAUCUUCCAUAUCCUUUCUGUUUUUAUCGCUCUGCAGGCGGCGGCGGCGGUUCCCGGUGACCGUUGGCUUGUGACGGAGGACACCGAAGGGAUGAAGCGGAAGGGCAAGAUGCCAGAAAAACCAUCGGCUCGACAACCCCCUGCCGGCACCAAGCGAGCCCGACCUGCAGAACCAACCAAAGAUGACGGCGCCAAAAAUAUUAGACGCAAGAAGCAAGCGGAUGCAUCACAAAUGGAUGCUGAGUUGGUAGAGUCCCACGUGAACAAACAGACGAUUUACACCCGGUGCAGCCCGAAGUUUGUGUUCGAUGCUUGUGCCACGUUGUCACCUUCACAUCGCCAAGCAUUGUCAGGGCUCGGACUGGGUCAACUAGCAGAUAUGACGCUUGAUGGUUUUGAGCAGCCUGACCUGAUCCGUUGGCUCAUGGAUCGGACUGACCCGAAAACAAUGACCAUACAAAUUUCUGAAAACAAGAAGAUUGCCAUAACACCAUGGAAGAUCAGUAUUGUCUUGGGCACCCCUUUUGGUGGUGAACCGUUACAAUAUCCUGAUAAAAAAUGCAUGGCAGCUGCAUUUGCACAGUUGGCCAAUGAGCUUGGGGUGCCUCCAAGCUCUAAUAUUUCUGUACCAAUGUUAAAAAGAUUGACCAUCGAUCGUCUGCAUACACCACGUAUUCAGUUGUACACAAAGGAUCUGGUGGAGGCUAUAUCUCAGGGAGACCGUGUGAAGGAUGAAGAAGAUAAAAUUGUCUUUGGACAGCUCAAUGGAAGAAUUUAUGCCAUUUCCUUUUUCUAUCCUUUUUCAAGGACAGACUACGAUAAGGACAAAGAGCCACGUGGUGACAAUGCUGGCACCCCUUUUGCAGAUGAGUUAGUCACAGCGGUGCACAUUAAUUUCCCAAGCAUGUUUGACACCAUUGGACCCCAUAUAUACGGCCUUCAAGCUGAACAGAAUAAGCGUGUCCUUGACGCACUUGGAGAAUAUGAUCGUCAGGCAAAAAUUUGUGCUGACAAUAUUGCGAAGAAUAUUAGGAGGGUGCAAACAUGCUAUGCACGAGUCAGUGACCAUAUUGUCAGCAUUAUCAGGGGCGCUAUGCAAACCCAGGAAACAGCUCAGCGUGCUGGCACCUACACAGAAAAGCAACCAACCUUCCAGGGUGAGCCAGCUGCAAUGCCAUCAAAUCAGGAAGAUGUUCCCAAGUUGGAUGAUACAGCUCCACAAUCUCGCACCCCGCCAAGCACCGCUGUCAUGGAGUGCCUUGUGAAUACUACUGUGACGGAGCGUGGGGCUCCUCACCGGGAGACCGCGCGGGCCUCCCUUUGCCGGUUCGGCCGAGGGCGCUAAGUGAGGUUCU